GUUGGCUGCGGGCAGAGAAGCGGCGGAAGGAUUCCCGACUCCGGGAAGCCAGGUGUCGGAAGGAGGAAGUGCGCUUGAAGGGGGUCCGGCUGGCCGACUCUGCACUCGUCCGUUCGUGGCCCACCGUGGUGGUCACCAAAUUGAGGGCUUCCUGGAAGGACCUCCUCACGGUGCCCAUCCAGUGGGUCAUGUGGGUCUGAGCCACCGUGAGUUUAUCUCCCAGGUAAUCCAUGGGGCCAGCCAGGAGGAGAGGUUAGAAGGAAGUUAGGGAGGGAGAGAGCAAUUAAAACGCCAGUGUCCUCUUGCCUCUUUGGACUCUUUUGCUCAUGGAAGUUUUGGGCUUGCUUGGAGGAAAAAAAAUUAAAAACAGCAGCUUUCUUCAGGCAAACCAAGGGUGGAGCAACACCGUCAGUCAGAAGGCAGCGGAUGGCACAGGGCUUCCGCGUAAGGCCUGCAUCGCCUGAGUCAUGGUUUUCUCAUCUUGUAUGAGGCCCACCCCCUUCAAAAGGUUGUGACAAAAAAAACAACUGAGAUAAUUUGUGCUGCUGGCACACAGUUAACACUCAAUAAGGCCGGGCACAGUGGCUUACACCUCUAAUCCCAGCACUUUGGGAGGCUGAGGCAGGUGGAUCACUUGAGGCCAGGAGUUCGAUACCAGCCUGACCAACAUGGUGAAACCCCAUCUCAACUAAAAAUACAAAAAUUAGCCAGGCAUGGUGGUGUGCACCUGUAGUCCC
rnacentral:lncRNA from 1 species